rnacentral:rRNA from 1 species
AAUCAACGCUGGCGGCGUGCCUAACACAUGCAAGUCGAACGCGAAAGCCCCUUCGGGGUAAGGUAGAGUGGCGUCCGGGUGAGUAACACGUAGGUAAUCUACCUCUGGGUGGGGAAUAACGUCUCGAAAGAGACGCUAAUACCGCAUAAUGCAGCGGCACCUAAUGGUGAAUAGUUGUUAAAGCGGGGGACCCGUUCGGGCCGUCGUGCCUAGAGAGGAGCCUGCGGCAGAUUAGCAGUUGGUAGGGUAAUGGCCUACCAAGGCUUCGAUCUGUAGCUGGUCUGAGAGGACGGCCAGCCACACUGGCACUGACACACGGGCCAGACUCCUAC